ensembl:lncRNA LINC00910 long intergenic non-protein coding RNA 910
AGACUAGCGCAGAGAAACGGGGAUAAGUACUGAUGAGGGUCCCAGCCCUCAGCGAUCGGAUUUCAGAGGGGGAGAUAAAGGACUGCCCAGAAGGGUGAUCUCUUCAACUACCUGUGAAAACUGAUGUGAUGAAAAGGGGAAUUUGAAGGAGCCAUUCCAGAAGACAGGGCGAAAACUGAAGUGCAAUCAGGGCCAAGAAAAACAGAAAUAGCAGGACCUGGAGUUGCAUAGGUUGAAUAGUUGAAUAGGCUGCUCUCCUCAGCUGGCAGGAAACCUGGCAGCCUCCUGGUGCCCAAGGACUGAAAACCUUAGAAGCACCUGGAGUUGGCAGCCUUGGCAUGGUCAGGUUGGCACCUCUGGAGGUGCCCAGGCUUCCCUGGCAGCAUUGUGAGCAGUGGAUGGUGUUGAAGGGCAGCCAGAGGAGGAAUGGAACACAUGCUCCUUGCUAACCACACGGACAAGGCCACGUUCACAGGUACACAAAGGCAACGCAGUUGCUCAGGUGCUUCGGUAUCACAGCCAAGACCCCUUCGGGGGAAGCUAGUCGGAUACUGGGACCCACAUUCCAGACUACUGAGCCGCGGUCGCGCCCUCGGCUCCGUUUCUGCUCCCUCCACCCCACGAGGACGGGGGUGGAAGGCCACCUUCGAUGGGUGCAUCCUCCACGAUGACCUGCUAACAAAGGUGCAUGGAUUUCAGAGUCUGAUUGGCCUACAACAGCAUUUGGCUUGUGGAGACAGUGGUUCCCUGAUGAAAAACUGCCAUGAUGAACUUAAUCAGCACAAGGAGACAGCUUCAACUCCCUAUGAUUUCAUCCCUGACCAAUCAGCACUCCUGGGCUCACUGGCUUCCCCCUACCCACCAAGUUGUCCUUAAAAAGUCUGCUCCCCAAAUGCUCGGGUAGACUGAUUUGGGUAAUAAUAAAACUCCGGUCUCCCACACAGCC